rnacentral:rRNA from 1 species
AUACGGAGGAUCCGAGCGUUAUCCGGAUUUAUUGGGUUUAAAGGGAGCGUAGGUGGAUUGUUAAGUCAGUUGUGAAAGUUUGCGGCUCAACCGUAAAAUUGCAGUUGAAACUGGGAGUCUUGAGUACAGUAGAGGUGGGCGGACUUCGUGGUGUAGCGGUGAAAUGCUUAGAUAUCACGAAGAACUCCGAUUGCGAAGGCAGCUCACUAGACUGUUACUGACACUGAUGCUCGAAAGUGUGGGUAUCAAACAGGAUUAGAUACCCUGGUAGUCCACACAGUAAACGAUGAAUACUCGCUGUUUGCGAUAUACAGUAAGCGGCCAAGCGAAAGCAUUAAGUAUUCCACCUGGGGAGUACGCCGGCAACGGUGAAACUCAAAGGAAUUGACGGGG